AUGAGAAUCUCCCGGGAUCCUGUUUAAAAUGUGGGUUCUGAUUCGGGCGACCUGGGGUGAGGCUCUGCUUUUCUAACAAGCUCCCUGGUGACACCCAU
rnacentral:miRNA from 1 species